CCUACGGGUGGCAGCAGUGAGGAAUAUUGGUCAAUGGCCGGAAGGCUGAACCAGCCAUGCCGCGUGAAGGUCAGUGCCCUAUGGGCGUUAAACUUCUUUUGUGCGGGAGCAAUAAUGGUCACGUGUGGCCAGACGAGAGUACCGUACGAAUAAGCAUCGGCUAACCCCGUGCCAGCAGCCGCGGUUAUACGGGGGAUGCAAGCGUUAUCCGGAUUUAUUGGGUUUAAAGGGUGCGUAGGCUGUGAGGUAAGUCAGCGGUGAAAUGCCUCCGCUCAACGGGGAGAAGUGCCAUUGAUACUGGCUGGCUGGAAUGCGGAUGCGGUAGGAGGAAUGUGUGGUGUAGCGGUGAAAUGCAUAGAUAUCACACAGAACACCGAUUGCGAAGGCAUCUCACGAAUCCGCGAUUGACGCUGAUGCACGAAAGCGUGGGUAUCAAACAGGAUUAGAUACCCGGGUAGUC
rnacentral:rRNA from 1 species